AGCUUGCUGGGUGGAUUAGUGGCGAACGGGUGAGUAACACGUGAGUAACCUGCCCUUAACUCUGGGAUAAGCCUGGGAAACUGGGUCUAAUACCGGAUAGGAGCGUCCACCGCAUGGUGGGUGUUGGAAAGAUUUAUCGGUUUUGGAUGGACUCGCGGCCUAUCAGCUUGUUGGUGAGGUAAUGGCUCACCAAGGCGACGACGGGUAGCCGGCCUGAGAGGGUGACCGGCCACACUGGGACUGAGACACGGCCCAGACUCCUACGGGAGGCAGCAGUGGGGAAUAUUGCACAAUGGGCGMAAGCCUGAUGCAGCGACGCCGCGUGAGGGAUGACGGCCUUCGGGUUGUAAACCUCUUUCAGUAGGGAAGAAGCGAAAGUGACGGUACCUGCAGAAGAAGCACCGGCUAACUACGUGCCAGCAGCCGCGGUAAUACGUAGGGUGCGAGCGUUAUCCGGAAUUAUUGGGCGUAAAGAGCUCGUAGGCGGUUUGUCGCGUCUGUCGUGAAAGUCCGGGGCUUAACCCCGGAUCUGCGGUGGGUACGGGCAGACUAGAGUGCAGUAGGGGAGACUGGAAUUCCUGGUGUAGCGGUGGAAUGCGCAGAUAUCAGGAGGAACACCGAUGGCGAAGGCAGGUCUCUGGGCUGUAACUGACGCUGAGGAGCGAAAGCA
rnacentral:rRNA from 1 species